rnacentral:rRNA from 1 species
AGGAUGAACGCUAGCGGCAGGCCUAACACAUGCAAGUCGAGGGGCAAGGGGAGCUUGCUCCCCCUAGACCGGCGCACGGGUGCGUAACGCGUAUGCAAUCUACCUUGUACAGGGGAACAGCCCGGGGAAACCCGGAUUAAUGCCCCAUAGUACCAUUAUGACACCUGUCAUUGUGUUAAAGAUUCAUCGGUACAAGAUGAGCAUGCGUCCCAUUAGUUAGUUGGUGUGGUAACGGCACACCAAGACAGCGAUGGGUAGGGGCCCUGAGAGGGGGAUCCCCACACUGGUACUGAGACACGGACCAGACUCCUACGGGAGGCAGCAGUGAGGAAUA